rnacentral:rRNA from 1 species
UACGUAGGGGGCAAGCGUUGUCCGGAAUCAUUGGGCGUAAAGCGCGCGUAGGCGGCUCAGUAAGUCGGGUGUGAAACCUCCAGGCUCAACCUGGAGACGCCACCUGAUACUGCUGUGGCUAGAGUCCGGUAGGGGAGCGUGGAAUUCCUGGUGUAGCGGUGAAAUGCGCAGAUAUCAGGAGGAACACCAGCGGCGAAGGCGGCGCUCUGGGCCGGAACUGACGCUGAGGAGCGAAAGCGUGGGGAGCAAACAGG